CAAGACUGCUUGUCCAUCUUGUAUGGAAGAUUCAGAUGCAUUCACAUUUAAGCAAUCGUGGUUUAACAAUCACCGUAAAUUUUUACCGGCUGACCAUCCCUUCAGACGAAACAAAACUGCUUUUAGAAAGAAAAAAAUGGUUAUGAAAAGUGCUCCCCCCAUUUUAUCUGGUGUAGAGAUCUUAGAACAAAUAGAAUAUCUAAGAUUAAUGUUCAUCACAG
rnacentral:misc_RNA from 1 species